rnacentral:rRNA from 1 species
UACGGAGGGUGCAAGCGUUAUCCGGAUUUACUGGGUUUAAAGGGUGCGUAGGUGGAUUGGUAAGUCAGUGGUGAAAUACUACAGCGCAACUGUGGAACUGCCCUUGAUACUAUCAAUCUUGAAUGCAGUGGAGGCAGGCGGAAUGUGUCAUGUAGCGGUGAAAUGCUUAGAUAUGACACAGAACACCUAUUGCGAAGGCAGCUUGCUACACUGUGAUUGACACUGAGGCACGAAAGCGUGGGGAUCAAACAGG